rnacentral:rRNA from 1 species
CUGGCUCAGAGCGAACGCUGGCGGCAGGCCUAACACAUGCAAGUCGAACGGACCCUUCGGGGUUAGUGGCGGACGGGUGAGUAACACGUGGGAACGUGCCUUUAGGUUCGGAAUAGCUCCUGGAAACGGGUGGUAAUGCCGAAUGUGCCCUUCGGGGGAAAGAUUUAUCGCCUUUAGAGCGGCCCGCGUCUGAUUAGCUUGUUGGUGAGGUAAUGGCUCACCAAGGCUACGAUCAGUAGCUGGUCUGAGAGGAUGACCAGCCACAUUGGGACUGAGACACGGCCCAAACUCCUACGGGAGGCAGCAGUGGGGAAUCUUGCGCAAUGGGCGAAAGCCUGACGCAGCCAUGCCGCGUGUAUGAUGAAGGUCUUAGGAUUGUAAAAUACUUUCACCGGUGAAGAUAAUGACUGUAGCCGGAGAAGAAGCCCCGGCUAACUUCGUGCCAGCAGCCGCGGUAAUACGAAGGGGGCUAGCGUUGCUCGGAAUUACUGGGCGUAAAGGGAGCGUAGGCGGACAUUUAAGUCAGAGGUGAAAUCCCGGAGCUUAACUUCGGAACUG